UACGGGGGAGCAAGCGUUGUUCGGAUUACUGGGCGUAAAGGGCGCGUAGGCGGGCGGCCAAGUCAGGGGUGAAAGCCCCAGCUCAACUGGGAAGUGCCUCUGAUACUGGCCGUCUCGAGCGAGGUAGGGCGUGGCGGAACUUCCGGUGGAGCGGGUGGAAAUGCGUAGAUAUCGGAAGGACACCUAUGGCGAAGGCAGCUCGCUGGGACGGUAACUGACGCUGAGGCGCGAAAGCGUGGGGAGCGAACAGG
rnacentral:rRNA from 1 species